UGGCGCAGUCUGCGCCGUGCGUUGUCGAAGACCAAAAAUAUUUUAUCGACUGGCAAUCACUCUUUCUGGCGCGACGGUGAACUACAAUGAGCGUGCAAAACCAAACGGCAGAGAAAAGAAACGUUUUGCGCGGGACAGCUUCGUUUCUUCUUUUCUGUCCCCGCCUUGUUCUGCACGACGAUUCAGCUGCUGAAAGAAAGGGGUUUCGUCGCCAUACAGGGGGCGGAGAAGAGGGUCUGCGCCGUCGUGGAUGGUCGUAGCUGUCGUUGAGGAUUGCUGGUCCUGUCGUUCUGGGGUUUUCAAAACCCAAGCAACCCAAUGAUGCGGAGAAUCCGGGGAGCCGUCGACGGCGAUCAUGGAGUGGAAAGCACCUACUGAGUACUGAGUCGCUGGAACGUUGGUGGAUGGUCGACAGAGGUGAGACCGUUGGCAGGUCAGGAGGAUAUCUGUUCUCAUUGCAGUCGUCUUCAAGGAGACAGUCACCUUUAAGAAGAAGCAUACGGCGGCACAGGCCACUACCGCCAAGCUUCCCUAACCCGCUUCUUCCUGACGAGGCUGGUGUAGGCCGUUCCUUUUUAGCUUUUCUCGCGUGGUUAUUACGUUGUUGUUGUAACGGAAUGGGGUUGGAUGGUGGAGGGUUCUGUGUGAUUUUUCAUUUAUUUUCUGAAAUCAUGAGUCCCAUUUUCUUAGAUGAAUUAUUUGUUUUGGUUCUAACAUGUAUCAGUUUUUUAUUACUAACGCCUGCUACAGAAUGCCAGCUGCUAUGGGGGGACGCACUUUUUCAAUUUAGAUUGCUUGUUACUCGAGGUGCUGGUUUUGACUUUCAGAAUGUACAUGGUGUUGAAUAGUUUGAAGUGUGCUAGCUAUCUUUUGACCAACUGUAGGGUGCAGGAUCCUUGUAGACUUGUAGUUGUGUCUGGUUAGCAUGGGUGCGUCAGGAAUGAAGAAGAUCAGCGCCGCUAUAGAUAUUUUUUUUGUUCCAUUCUGUUGAUUAUGUGGCAAUCUCCCCUUUGAUGGUGGUGUUGAUUAAGUAGACGAGAGCCAGUUAUGGAAUUGGCUGGACCCGAUUAGCUAUUGACGGGAGAGAGUAAGAACAUGAGAAGAUGGUUGAUGUAGGGUUCUCUUUCUUGAUUCCAAGUUUCCUGCUUUUCUGAAAGUAUUUGUAUAUCUUGUCAUGGGCAACUUUAGAACAAUAUUGUAGCCUCCGAUGAAACAGAAACAUGAAGAUAUUUUAUUUUCAUCCAUAACUAAUUGGAUUUAUGUGCAACUACCUUUAUUUCGGAAACCUUUGAGCAUUUUAUUCGUAUAUUGUCCAGAGUUAGACAUAGGCAUUCACUAAUCUCUCUCUCUACGCAUGCAGAUGGACGGGUGAAGAAGUCAUGAUGAAGCAAAGUUAACUCAUCAAACGUGCAAUUAUCAUGAUUUUUAUUCACUCAUAAAAACAUGAAAUAGGUGUUCAUUUUGUGGGUCAAAAUUAAAGGGCAAUUGUUCCUUCAGUGAUGUAUCAAUGGGCAUCUCUGUAUAAAUCUGUGCAUGAGAGCUUCUGUUUUUUAAUCAAAGAUUGAAAAGAUUGCACACUAUGGUUCUAAAGAUUGAAAUUUGGCAAGGUCAUUCUUUUUCUUGUUAUAUGCAUAUGAUAGCUUAUUUCAUGAUUAUAAUGUUGUUUGACUUAGGAAUUAUGCGUUUGUAGUUCUUUUGCAGUGUUAUGAUAUGCUGUCUAACUCUUUGCUGUUGGUAUUACGUUUUAGAGAGGCAGUACAAGGUCUAGUUGGGGAAGAGUUGCUUGUUUGAUUCUCUGCUUCGAGAGAGAUGAAUUCAUGGCUUUGUAGUUUGUCUCCCUUAAUGUUUUUUGUGUCCCAAGAACAGAGAAAUGGCUGGCUGAAUUAUGAGAAGCAUGUGUUGAUUUUUAUUUUGAUGAGCAGGUUGAUGAUCAUUUUUUGAAGGCUGCUUCUUUUGAAUAUCACCAUGAGGUAGAACUUGCCAUGGAAUUCGUUGUUGAUGAGGUGCUGGCACGUUUGAGUUUGGAUAGUGAUCAUACAGAUGGUCUAAGUAGGUCAUGUUUUGCAACUGGAGGAAAAUGAUCAUUUGCUAGUCCUCAUCGCUACAUUUGGUGUUGAUUUGGGCUCUAAGCAUGACAAUAGGUGUUGAUUUGCCUCAAAGCAUGCACAGACAGCUGCUACAGCUGUUUCAGGAAAACGUGGUUUUCAGGCAAAGUGGAUGGCAGAGUACCCUCAUUUAUAAUCUCUUCAGAGGUUUUGAGUGUCAAGUGUCAACCAGCUCACGGACUUUGUUAUUUAACACUACGGUUUCUCUUUAUUAAGAUUCUGGAAGCGGCUCAUCAAGUUGCUAGUUUUACUGUUUCUACAGCACUUAUAUCAUAUGAUUAGAUGAAGACCAAUGCGAAGCACUCAUAACUGGGAUACAGCAGAAGAUGUUAGCGCUUAUGAGUUUUAAGCAUCAAGAGAAUGUGUUGUCUAUUGGGUUAUCCUCAGAUGCCGAUAGCAACAAAACAAUCAUAAUCAAAGUAGAAACAUAUAGAAGAAUAAAAAGUAGGAUCUACAUGAAUAUAGCCAUGUAUUUGACUCAUUUUUCUCCACUACCAUGAAAACAUUAUAGAAACCAAUGGAUCUGCCUAAAUUAUGCUCUUGAUUGGCUACAAAUGACCAUAACCAGCCCAGCUUUCUCUCUUGUUCUACUGAAUAUCUGCAGUCAUUUUAAGUUACCGCCUGGAAGCCCCUAUGAUAAGUUCUUGAAAGCUGCAAGACUGUUUGUGUAGUGCAUAUGAUGCUGCACUCCUUGGGAUGUUAGGAAUUUGAAAAUGUCGCCUAUUGACAUUUUUCUACCGGUCCGGCUUUGUGUAUUUACUCGUGAUAUCAACAAGGCAAUUCUGAUCAGUGAUGCCAUGGAAAUAGGGAUGGCCCAGAUAAAUUCAGCAGAUUUUGCUAAUGUGUCUAUUCUUGGUGAUUUUGUUAUUCUUAUAUGUUUUAAUUUUCAAUAUGAUUUGUAGUAAACUUUUUUAUUUCUUAUUAAGUGCAAAUGAAAAGUA